ensembl:snRNA U6 U6 spliceosomal RNA
GUGCUUAUUUUGGCAGCCCGUAUACUAAAACUGGAAAACAAUACAGAGAAGAUUAGCACAGUCCUUGUGCACGGAUGACAUGCAAAUCUGUGAACUAUUUCAUAUUUUU